rnacentral:rRNA from 1 species
UUCGGUCUCUGGAGCGGAGCGGAACUACCUCUUCCCAUUCCGAACAGAGUCGUAAAACGCUCCAGCGUCGACGAUAGUAAUCCGGAAACGGACUGCGAAAAUAGAUCGAGGUCGGGG